UACGAAGGGUGCAAACGUUGCUCGGAAUCAUUGGGCGUAAAGCGCGCGCAGGCGGCCCUUUAAGUCUACCCGUGAAAUGCCGGAGCUCAACUCCGUGCACGCCGGGGGAUACUGGAGGGCUGGAGACGAGUAGAGGCAAGCGGAAUUCCGGGUGUAGAGGUGAAAUUCGUAGAUAUCGGGAGGAACACCGGUGGCGAAGGCGGCGACCUGGGUCGAUACUGACGCUGAGGUGCGAAAGCGUGGGGAGCAAACAGG
rnacentral:rRNA from 1 species